rnacentral:rRNA from 1 species
GAGUAAUGUCUGGGAAACUGCCUGAUGGAGGGGGAUAACUACUGGAAACGGUAGCUAAUACCGCAUAACGUCGCAAGACCAAAGAGGGGGACCUUCGGGCCUCUUGCCAUCAGAUGUGCCCAGAUGGGAUUAGCUAGUAGGUGGGGUAAUGGCUCACCUAGGCGACGAUCCCUAGCUGGUCUGAGAGGUUGACCAGCCACACUGGAACUGAGACACGGUCCAGACUCCUACGGGAGGCAGCAGUGGGGAAUAUUGCACAAUGGGCGCAAGCCUGAUGCAGCCAUGCCGUGUGUGUGAAGAAGCCUUCGGGUUGUAAAGCACUUUCAGCGAGGAGGAAGGUGGUGAGCUUAAUACACUCAUCAAUUGACGUUACUCGCA